rnacentral:rRNA from 1 species
ACUCCUACGGGAGGCAGCAGUGGGGAAUAUUGCACAAUGGGCGCAAGCCUGAUGCAGCAACGCCGUGUGAGUGAAGAAGGUUUUCGGAUCGUAAAACUCUGUCCUAAGGGAAGAAAAAAUAGACGGUACCUUAGGAGGAAGCCCGGCUAACUACGUGCCAGCAGCCGCGGUAAUACGUAGGGGGCGAAGCGUUAUCCGGAAUCACUGGGGCGUAAAGGGUGCGUAGGCGGCUUAGCAAGCCAGGGGUGAAAGGCAUUGGCUCAACCAAUGUAAGCCUUUGGAACUGUUAAGCUUGAGUGCAGGAGAGGUAAGUGGAAUUCCUAGUGUAGAGGUGAAAUUCGUAGAUAUUAGGAGGAACACCAGUGGCGAAGGCGACUUACUGGACUGUAACUGACGCUGAUGCACGAAAGCGUGGGUAGCGAACAGGAUUAGAUACCCUGGUAGGUCAGUC